UACGGAGGGAGCUAGCGUUGUUCGGAAUUACUGGGCGUAAAGCGCAACGUAGGCGGCUUUGCAAGUCAGAGGUGAAAGCCUGGAGCUCAACUCCAGAAUUGCCUUUGAGACUGCAUCGCUUGAACACGGGAGAGGUGAGUGGAAUUCCGAGUGUAGAGGUGAAAUUCGUAGAUAUUCGGAAGAACACCAGUGGCGAAGGCGGCUCACUGGACCGUUGUUGACGCUGAGGUGCGAAAGCGUGGGGAGCAAACAGG
rnacentral:rRNA from 1 species